UGUUGCCCCCUCGGCUCGGCCCUCGUCGGCGGACUCUGCUGCUCCUCAUGGCGCCGUCCUCCUCCUCCCCGUCCUCGUUGUCGUCGUCGGGCGGCUCCCACGCGGGCCUCGCCAUCGCGGCCACCGCCAUGGCGCUCUCCGGCACGCUCGUCCUCUACUCCCUGUGCCGCGCCAAGCAGCCGCACCUGGUCCCCUCCGACGCCGCCCCGUCCCCUCGUCUCCGCCCGUGCCUCGCCUCGUCCGGUAAGUGCGCGCGCGCCGUCUGUUCUGUCCUUCUCGGUUCCUUCCCCUGCCGCGGCGCGGCGCGCCGGACUGCCGGCCGGGGUGGGCGUUUACUUGCUGUUGCUGUUGCUGGAGAGUGCCCCCCCCCCUCCCC
rnacentral:lncRNA from 1 species